AUAAAUAAAUAUAAAACAGUAUUUUACCAUAAAUUCCUUUUUCCUUAGUGUAGGGGCAGUUGUGCCUUCGGCUGUGUGGACAAGUUGCUCCCCCCAAAAUUUAAAUCUUUAAUUGAGAUAUAAGGGCACAAUAGGCAGGAUAAUUCCUGUACCUCCAUUCAUUCUAAGAACCAAAUGGCAACCAUAUACUGCAAAUAUAAUUUAAUUCAUACAAAAAGGGGGAGGUAAAAAGGCAGUACUGCCACUAUACUAAGGAAAAAGGAAUGUACGGUGUGACAGACCCAUCUGUAUGGACUAGAAUUGCUGUGUUCGUCUGUUUUGCCGUUUGUAUGAAUUUCCCCAUUCGUAUGCUUUGUUUAAGGGAAUGUCUUUUUUUUGUCGAACAGAACUACCGAACGGACGGCCACCCAGAAGAGAAGUGUGCUGCUGGUUAACCUAUUGAUCCCAAUUAGAACGUUGCGGUUAACCACAGACACUUCUCAAUUAAAACCGAAUACCGGGUGGUCGCCAGUCGUAUGUCGACCACGAGGCGGCGGCCAUUUUGACUAUGCGAAAGCCCAGC